GAUUCAUCAAGGAAAAGGAGAACAAAACACUUGAACAAGUGGCAGAGGGCUAUUUGAGUGAUCUUGUAAACCGAAGCCUACUACAAGUUGUGAUGAAGAAUGAGUUUGGACGUGUGGAAUGUUUCCGAAUGCAUGAUGUUAUCCGCCAUCUUGCCAUUGACAAAGCAGAGGAAGAAUGCUUUGGUAAAGUUUAUGAGGGCCAUGGGACAUUUUCGCUACGUGGAACAUGUAGACUGUCAAUACAGGGCACCAAUAUUGUUCCAUUGGAUCAAUCCAGUGCAACACAUGUCCGUGAAAUCUAUACUUGUAUGAGUUCUGUUGAUAUUGGGUUCCUGAGACCUAUUCUUGCAUCUUCAUUAUUGUUGUCCACAUUGGAUCUCGAAGGCUCUAAAAUCCAGAUGCUGCCUAAUGAGGUCUUCAGCUUGUUCAAUCUGCGUUUCUUGCGUCUUCGGAAAACUGGAAUUGAGAUGCUACCAGCAGCCAUCGGAAGACUGCAGAACUUAGAAGUACUUGACAUAGUGCGUACUUGUCUGCUAUCUUUACCAAAGAAUGUAGCAAAACUAAGAAAGCUUAGGCACUUACAUGCGUCUACAAAGAUCAAUGAAGGAUAUUUCAGCCGUCAGGGUGGAGUUAAGGUGCCUAGGGGCAUAAGGAACUUGACAGGACUCCAUGUUCUGGGAAAAGUUAAAGCUAGCUCAGAGACUAUCUGACGUUGCAGCUUUGACAGAGUUACGACAUUUUGGAGUCGACGACGUAACAAGGGAGCACGCGUUAUUCUUGCGUGCCGCUCUUCUCAACAUGAGCAGUCUGGUCAGUUUGGCAAUUAAUAUGUCAAAUAAAAAUGAAGUACUGCCAUUGCAAGAACUCUGCUUACCAGAAAGUCUUUCUGAUCUCGUAUUGAUAGGGCAGCUGGAAAAUAAAAAGAUGCCCCGUAUUCUCUCAUCCUGGUUGCACCUUAACAACCUAACUCAUCUGGAACUAGUAUUCUCCAAACUUGAUGAGAACUCAUUUUCAAGCCUCAUGGUUUUGAGUAAUUUAUGCUUUCUUUCCCUUUGUAAAUCUUAUGAUGGAAAGACGCUAUGCUUCUCUGCACAGUCAUUUCCUAGACUGACAAAACUAAGAAUACUGGGUGCUGUGCAGCUCAACCAGAUCCAAAUAGCUGAAGAUGCGCUGGGAAGUCUUGCUAUGCUACGGUUUUUACAGUGCCCAGAAUUGAAGCGCCUCCCUCAUGGGAUUGAGUACCUUACGGCCCUUGAUGAAUUAUAUUUGUUAGAUACUGCAGAUGAGUUUAUAGAGAUGCUUAGGCAGGAACCCGAAGCAAAUGAAUGCAAGGAAGAACUUAAGAAGAUCAGUCGCAUUAAAAUUGUCAUUGUUCAAUCAACUGAGAAAAACUUUAGGCAAGGAAUUGUUUCCAGUAAUGGCAAUGAAUUCAGUGGCUCAAGGCUUGGAUGCUAGCUGCUACUCCAAGAGAUCCAUGUACAAGUUUCUUCAGGUUGCUGCUGCCUCUGUUGUGCUACUUCGGUGGUUCUGGCUCACUUCAGUCGUCAUUAGUCAAAGAACAUGCAUUGAACUACUGACCGAGGACGCAUAGGACAUUUACGUGAGCAAAUUAGUUUGCAACUUAAGCGCAAACAAUGUUCUGAUUUAUGGGAUUCAUGACAUUUGCUCUUGGCGUUGUUCUGAACAUAAAAGGUUGUGCCUGGUGCAGAGAACAGAGUGUUUUUGCUUUGGGUUUCGGGGUUUCUGUUUAGUCAGUGGUAGGAAUGGAUUGGCUUGAUGUCUCCAGGUGUGUAAUAAACUUUGCGGAGUCUUUCAUUUGCAUUUUGCUGAAGAUACUUGUAUUUGGUGAUAGUCUUUUUGUUGUGUGCAUCAAGAAAUUUGAUUUGAUUUCAAC